CAAGCACAAUGUUCUUCAUGAGUCAACGCUCGCGGCUAAACUGACAAUUAGCUACUAGCCAGGGAUAUUAUCCUCAAAAGGAAUUUAUCAGUCAAUUGCUGUUAAAAACAGGUGUAAAUUCAGACCAAGGCUAGUGUACGAAAGGACAGGAAGGGGGUCUGAGAUUUGGAAAGACAACUCCACUUCCUGUGUCAUGGGAGCUAUCCCAGACUAUCACCUGUGUCCGGUGGUCCUCUACCCCGCCAUUCACAGGCAGCAGCAAGGAAGAACCGGGGAUCUGAGAGAAGAGGACCAUGGGAGAAUGAUAAGCCGAUAGCCAGAAAACAGCACCUCCAAGCCCAGACUCCAAGAUAGUGGGCCAACCACAGAGAUCCAUGCUGGAUUAGUGUAGAACAAAAGAUUGCCUUGAAAGGGCUGAACACGGCAGUUGACCCAGGGAUGAAUAACGGUGUGAUCUCCAUGGUGGGGGUCAGCUGUGGUACUUCCGGUUCUUCACGAGAGGCUCCAUCCUGUCAGACCGCUACCUUGCUCAUCUCGAAAGAACUAAACUGAAGAUACUUCCUGCUAAAGACACUUUAGACUCUCCUUGCCUGUUUGUCAAGAUGUAUCUAGAUUUACAGUAUAUCCUGGAGGAAUCAGGCUUUACACUGAGGACACUGACCAAGGUCUUAUUCACUAUCGUCUAAUGUUACGUUUUUUGGUCUAUUAAGAUACCAAAGGCCUGUGCCCGAACCUCUACAACAUUUGUAGACUGUUUUUGUUUCAUUAGUGUGCUCAUAAAA